GAUGAAGAACGCAGCAAAAUGCGAUACUUGGUGUGAAUUGCAGAAUCCCGUGAACCAUCGAGUUUUUGAACGCAAGUUGCGCCCGAAGCCUUUUGGCCGAGGGCACGUCUGCCUGGGCGUCACGCAUCGCGUCGCCCCCCACAAUUCUCCGUAAAGGGAACAUGUGUUUUGGGGGCGGAUAUUGGUCUCCCGUGCUCAUGGCGUGGUUGGCCGAAAUAGGAGUCCUUUCGAUGGACGCACGAACUAGUGGUGGUCGUAAAAACCCUCGUCUUUUGUUUCGUGCUGUUGGUCGCAAGGUAAACUCUUUAAAAACCCCAAUGUGUCGUCUCUUGACGACGCUUCGACCGCGACCCCAGGUCAGGCGGGACUACCCGCUGAGUUUAAGCAUAUCAAUAAGCGAGGA
rnacentral:misc_RNA from 1 species